CGCUAAGGAGUGUGUAACAACUCACCUGCCGAAGCAACUAGCCCUGAAAAUGGACGAUGCUGUAGCGUGGAGCCGAUACUCGACCGUAAUGACGAUACCGAUGAGAAUGCGAUGUCAUUACGAGUAGGAGGGCCGCAAUGAUAGCGUUGAAGGUGUCAGACGUAAGUCUGCCUGGAGCUGUCAUUGGUGCAGAUCUUGGUGGUAGUAGCAAAUAUUCAAGUGAGAAUCUUGAGGACUAACGUGGAGAAGGGUUCCAUGUGAACAGCAGUUGGACAUGGGUUAGUCGAUCCUAAGGCAUAGGGAAGUUCCGUUUUAAAGGCGCCCUCGUGCGCCGUUUGCCGAAAGGGAAGCCGGUUAACAUUCCGGCACCUAGAUGUGGAUUCUCCACGGCAACGUAACUGAACGCGGAGACGUCGGCGGGGGUCCUGGGAAGAGUUCUCUUUUCUUUUGACAGCCUAUCA
rnacentral:rRNA from 13 species